CGGCCAGGCGCGCACAGCCGCUCUGCGGAGCGUCUCGCGGCCCCGCCGCUGGGCCUGGCUGCGCCUCGGGCCCGAGGUCAGGGAGUCUUGCCGUCAGCCAACCCGAGGCAGCCGGCAGGACGAAGAGGCCACAUAGGUCAACUGAGAUGAGAUGCCGCAGAUCCCCACGUUUUGCCGCGGACCCUUGGCGCUUUCCCACGUCACUCCCCGGCCGGGGAAAAGCCGAAGAGGCGGGCAGUGAGCGCAGUGGGUUGGCGAGGCUGGGGGCAGCGUCCUCCGGGAUCGCCCGCGCCCGCCCCCCGCUCGGGGCACCCCCGCAGGGCGCCGCCCGCCACCGCCGCCCGCCCGCGUGGUGCGGAGAGCAAACCGCAUUCACCGCUGAGAAGGAACCCUUAGGUGACAAAUGGAUCCUCUCUUCUGUUUUUAUGAUGGCGACGUCAGCUACAGCAAGCCCACAAAUUUUAAGUAGGCUCAGGAUUGCUUUCUCAGCAACCCAGAGCUCUCCAAAGUAAGAAAUGAAACUAAUCGUAAAAGUUGUAUGUAUCCUGUGGAGUGUAUAUUAAAAUUCCGAACGUAAAACGCUAUUGGAAUUUCACUUGCCAUCAUCAGUUCCUGAAGCUUCUGUAAGAGUGAGAUUCUGACCAGUUAUUUCCCCUUCAAGCCUAACGUGUUCUGCCCAGUGUAAAGUACAUGGUGAACCUUCCUGGACCAUAAUGAGGAUAAAAAUAUCUACCAU